rnacentral:lncRNA from 1 species
CAGGCUCAUUAAUUUUGAUCUAAUUUCUGCUCAGCUGCCCUCAGGAGGGCUGAAACACCGGCCUGGGAAACGUGGCCAUCCCUGGGAAGGUAGAGGAUGGCUCCUUCCUUUCACAGCUUCUCGUGGGAGGCGCUGAUUCAUGCCUGAGGCCGGCCUGAUCUGGGAGCCGAAAAGGAGUUGGAAAGAUCCUCGGUUGGCAUCGAUGCUCCUGUCCUGUGAACGGAGCUGGGGCGCUUCACACCGGCGGAGGAUCUCUCCCCAGGGAUUUUUGCUGCGCGUAACUUGCAUCCCGUGGACCGUUCCGCUGAGAAUGUGAAUUUUUGGAUGCUGCUUUGGGUGACCAGCCUGGUCUCUCUCCAGCGGAUGCAGCUGGUGGAUUUUAAYUCCCCUGAAGUCACCGCUCUGUUGCCAUACGAACGGGGAGCUGAGCUAGGCACCUGAUCCUGCUUGACAAUAUACACACACACACACGUAUAUACAUAUGCCAGUGUCUAACAACAGCAAAUCCAAAGUGUCUAUGCAACCCCAUGAUGUUAUGUUGCAACAGGCAUUGAAUAUGCAUAGAUCACUCAAAGGAUUUUCACUGCCGUUAAUGARGCUGAAUAGAUGAUAUCCCCUGAGGUGCUGGCUUUUCAGAUUUGACUGGUAUUUUUCUCCAGAUCCAACCCCUUAGCACCUUCUGAAUGAAAGAGAUGAGUUUGUUCAUGAAACGGGCUGCAGGAUUUUCAUUCCGUGAAAACUAAUUGGCAUCCUAGAAUGAAGAUCAUCCUACCAGCACAUCUAAUUAGAGGAGAAGAAACCCCAUAUUCCCGGAGCAGUCUCAUCUCAGUUCAGAAGGAACUCAGAAACAGGCAUGAAAACUCACUCAUCAUCCUUUGAAAUUCUAGCUUCCAGCAUGAGCCAAAUGUGUAUUUUCUAAAGCGUUUGUAUUUGAGAGAAUCCAGCAGGAUAAAUACUGUUUAUUCAUAACGUGAUAGAUUGUCACAACAUUGUGAGGCGUGUGUAUCACUGCAGUGCGAGUUCUGACACAUCUGAAGAAGUGAGGUUGAGGUGUGCCAUUCACAACCCAUCAAGUGAAACAUGCCACAGCCUGCCAUAAUCCUGACUACUUAAUGCACUUGGAUCUCUUCCCUGAUUUGAGGGGAAACUCAUGCCAACUGAUACCUGAGAGUAAAAGCCUGUGUGAAGUGACACUGUUUUGAAAAUAUAGGCUGGCCUAAAUCAUUGCAGGCAAGAUGCUUAGCUUUUCUCUCGGUCCCGUUUUCCAGCACUGAUGCAGGAGUCCUUUGGACUGUGCUUUUAAAACCUGCCUCAGG